rnacentral:rRNA from 1 species
AGGAAGCGGGAUGACGUCAAGUCCUCAUGGCCCUUACGGGCUGGGCUACACACGUACUACAAUGGUGGUGACAGUGGGAUGCGAAAGCGCGAGCUGGAGCGAAUCCCCAAAAGCCAUCUCAGUUCGGAUUGCACUCUGCAACUCGAGUGCAUGAAGUUGGAAUCGCUAGUAAUCGUGGAUCAGAAUGCCACGGUGAAUACGUUCCCGGGCCUU